GUAUCAAUGAGGAGCAGUGAUCUUGUGGAAGACAGAUGAUGACACAAAAAUCAUGUUGGAUAGGAUUACACUGAGGC